rnacentral:snRNA from 1 species
GGAUGUGAAGGUGAUCUGGCUGUGACACAGUCACAUUGAUGACUAGGGUUGAUUAGCUAAUCUGGCUGGCUAGGCAGGAGUGGGCUUCUUCUCUCAUAGCUCCAUGUGGGUCCCUCCCGAAGCUGUGUGUGUUUGGUCAAGGAAGAUGACCUUCCUGAAAUACAGGAGGGUCGGCGCAGAGGAGCAUCGUUCUGGACAGAGCAGAAAUGCCAGUGGUCCGUCAAGGGUGUAUGAGUAGCUGUGUUUGCCUGCUAGGACCUCCAAACAGCUCUCAGGUCCAGCCUGGGCUACAUGAGAUCUUGUCUCAAAAAGGAAGCGGAAAAGAAAAUGCAAGAUUCAGAAAAGUAAAAUCCAUUUUUAUUUAAGUUUAGAAAAAUGUCAUUU